UACGGGGGAUGCGAGCGUUAUCCGGAUUUAUUGGGUUUAAAGGGUGCGUAGGCGGCGCUUCAGGUCAGCGGUGAAAUACCGGGGCUCAACCCCGGGGCUGCCGUUGAAACCGGAGCGCUAGAAUUCCGAUGCCGUCGGAGGAAUGUGUGGUGUAGCGGUGAAAUGCAUAGAUAUCACGAAGAACUCCGAUUGCGAAGGCAGCUUACCAGUCUGCGACUGACGCUCAGGCACGAAAGUGUGGGUAUCGAACAGG
rnacentral:rRNA from 1 species